rnacentral:tRNA from 1 species
GCACUGGUGGUUCAGUGGUAGAGAGCGCUGCCUUCCACGUGGAGACCCAGGUUUGAUUCCUGGCCAGCGCA